UACGGAAGGUGCGAGCGUUGUUCGGAGUGAUUGGGCGUAAAGCGCGUGUAGGCGGCUUUGCAAGUCGGGUGUGAAAUCCCUCAGCUCAACUGAGGAAGUGCGCCCGAAACUGCAGAGCUUGAGUACCGGAGAGGAUGGCGGAAUUCCCCAAGUAGAGGUGAAAUUCGUAGAUAUGGGGAGGAACACCGGUGGCGAAGGCGGCCAUCUGGACGGAUACUGACGCUGAGACGCGAAAGCGUGGGGAGCAAACAGG
rnacentral:rRNA from 1 species